UACGGAAGAGGCAAGCGUUAUCCGGAAUUACUGGGCGUAAAGAGUUGCGUAGGUGGCAUAGUAAGCGAGUAGUGAAAGCGUGGGGCUCAACCCCAUACACAUUACUCGAACUGCUAAGCUAGAGAAUGAGAGAGGUAUCUGGAAUUCCCAGUGUAGGAGUGAAAUCCGUAGAUAUUGGGAGGAACACCGAUGGCGUAGGCAGGGUACUGGCUCAUUUCUGACACUAAGGCACGAAAGCGUGGGGAGCAAACGGG
rnacentral:rRNA from 1 species